UCCUACGGGGCGCAGCAGUGAGGAAUAUUGGUCAAUGGGCGCAAGCCUGAACCAGCCAAGUCGCGUGAGGGAUGACGGUCCUAUGGAUUGUAAACCUCUUUUGUCGGGGAGCAAGGCCCGCCACGUGUGGCGGGAAGGAGAGUACCCGAAGAAAAAGCAUCGGCUAACUCCGUGCCAGCAGCCGCGGUAAUACGGAGGAUGCGGGGGUUAUCCGGGUUUAUUGGGGUUAAAGGGGGGGGAGGCGGAAGGUUAAGGCAGCGGGCAAA
rnacentral:rRNA from 1 species